AUUGAACGCUGGCGGCAUGCUUUACACAUGCAAGUCGAACGGGGUGGAGGGGCAACUCUUCAUUCAGUGGCGAACGGGUGAGUAAUACAUCGGAACGUGUCCCGUAGUGGGGGAUAACCCAGCGAAAGCUGGGCUAAUACCGCAUAUGCUCUACGGAGGAAAGCAGGGGACUCAGCGGGCAACCGAGGGGCCUUGUGCUAUGGGAGCGGCCGAUGUCCGAUUAGCUUGUUGGNGGGGUAAAGGCCUACCAAGGCGACGAUCGGUAGCUGGUCUGAGAGGAUGAUCAGCCACACUGGGACUGAGACACGGCCCAGACUCCUACGGGAGGCAGCAGUAAGGAAUAUUGCGCAAUGGGCGAAAGCCUGACGCAGCGACGCCGCGUGGGGGAGUGAAGGU
rnacentral:rRNA from 1 species